UACAGAGGUCUCAAGCGUUAAUCGGAAUUACUGGGCUUAAAGGGUGCGUAGGCGGAACGACAAGUGUCUUGUGAAAGCCCAUGGCUCAACCAUGGAAUUGCUCGACAUACUGUCGUUCUUGAGGUCGGUAGAGGUUGCCGGAACUCUAGGUGGAGCGGUGAAAUGCGUAGAUAUCUAGAGGAACGCCAAAGGCGAAGGCAGGCAACUGGGCCGAUUCUGACGCUGAGGCACGAAAGCGUGGGGAGCGAACGGG
rnacentral:rRNA from 1 species